rnacentral:rRNA from 1 species
UACGAGAGGCCCAAACGUUAUUCGGAAUUACUGGGCUUAAAGAGUUCGUAGGCGGCAUGACAAGUAGGGUGUGAAAGCCCUCGGCUCAACCGAGGAAUUGCGCUCUAAACUGUCGUGCUAGAGGAACCUAGAGGUGAGCAGAACUGAUGGUGGAGCGGUGAAAUGCGUAGAUAUCUGGAGGAACACCGGUGGCGAAGGCGGCAUCCUGGACCGGCAUUGACGCUGAGGCGCGAAAGCCAGGGGAGCAAACGGG